rnacentral:rRNA from 1 species
AUUGAACGCUGGCGGCAUGCCUUACACAUGCAAGUCGAACGGUAACAGGUCUUCGGAUGCUGACGAGUGGCGAACGGGUGAGUAAUACAUCGGAACGUGCCUAGUAGUGGGGGAUAACUACUCGAAAGAGUGGCUAAUACCGCAUGAGAUCUACGGAUGAAAGCAGGGGAUCUCAAGACCUUGUGCUACUAGAGCGGCCGAUGGCAGAUUAGGUAGUUGGUGGGAUAAAAGCUUACCAAGCCGAAGAUCUGUAGCUGGUCUGAGAGGACGAUCAGCCACACUGGGACUGGGACACGGCCCAGACUCCUACGGGAGGCAGCGGUGGGGAAUUUUGGACAAUGGGCGCAAGCCUGAUCCAGCAAUGCCGCGUGCAGGAUGAAGGCCUUCGGGUUGUAAACUGCUUUUGUACGGAACGAAAAGCCCUGGGUUAAUACCCUGGGGUCAUGACGGUACCGUAAGAAUAAGCACCGGCUAACUACGUGCCAGCAGCCGCAGUAAAAC